GUGCCAGCCGCCGCGGUAAUACGGAGGGCGCAAGCGUUAAUCGGAAUUACUGGGCGUAAAGCGCACGUAGGCGGUUUGUUAAGUCAGAUGUGAAAUCCCCGGGCUCAACCUGGGAACUGCAUCUGAUACUGGCAAGCUUGAGUCUCGUAGAGGGGGGUAGAAUUCCAGGUGUAGCGGUGAAAUGCGUAGAGAUCUGGAGGAAUACCGGUGGCGAAGGCGGCCCCCUGGACGAAGACUGACGCUCAGGUGCGAAAGCGUGGGGAGCAAACAGGAUUAGAAACCCUAGUAGUCC
rnacentral:rRNA from 1 species